AUACCAUGAUGUGGACAUGUAACCAGGAGACCCUUGAAUCUCUCCCAUGUUUCAUGCAGCGUCUCAGUGGGUCUCUGUUUGAAGCUCAAUAUCUCAUCAAUUUGUUG
rfam:Nicotiana attenuata strain TT chromosome 7, whole genome shotgun sequence.